rnacentral:lncRNA from 1 species
GCAAUUUUGGUGGAAGACUCAAGGUAUUUGCAAGGUCAAAAGUGGGGAACGGAGGGGGAGGCAGCCCACUAGCCCAGGCUCGAUACAUUUCCAUUACUUAUUGUCUUAGUCUCCAAUUCUCUUCCUUUAAACUCUCAAUUUCUUGACUCUUUGUUUGAUCCAUGAUGUCACUCGCUAUAUCCUUGUUGGACACAACUAACCUUUUGGAGUUGGUGUGAUGUGGAGGACCAGCCAGAAUUCCACAAACCAACCAUCAUAAACAAACUGAACAAGAGAUAGCAAAUGCGUUAGAGUUCAACACUUUUUCAAAACUCUUUUUUCCUUUUUUUUAUAAGAUCACCGAACCCGAGAAGGGCGCUUGCAUAUCUCACCCCGAAAGAGGAGAAUCAGGUGUGCGUAGUUCGUGAAGUCUUGCCAAAAUGGCCAAUUAAACUCUUUUUUCUAUUCCUUGAAACUUUAAGAAGAAAAGAAAAUAACAAUUUGUCAAAAGAAUUGACGAAAAUCUUUUUGAAUUUUUUUCAAUUUUAACAUCCCUAUACAAAAUGAAAUCUAAGAUUACCAAAGAAAGAUCUUUUUAUUUUUUUUGCAUUUCAUACGAAAAUGAAACUUGAACCUAUUAAGGAAAAUCUUUUUUGUAGUUUUCUCUUAAAGAUGUAUAUGAAACACCUACCCUAAAGGAAAAGUGAAGAAAAUCUUUUUGGAUCUUUCAUAUUCCUAUACGAAAUGAAACCAAUGAUUACCAAAGAAAAUCUUUUUGGGUUUUCAAUUUUGAAUUUCAUAUGAAAAUGAAAAUUGAAACUAUCAAAGAAAGAUCUUUUUGCAGUUUUCUAUUAACGAAGUAUAUGACACCUACUCUAAAUAAAGAGUGAAGAAAAUCUUUUUGGAUUUUUGAAAUAAGAUCCCCAAACCAACAAUAGGCUGCCUGCGUAUCUCACUCCCGGGAGAGGAGAAUCAGGGGUGCGUAGUUCGUCCAGAUUGGACAAUUAAGGAUUAAAACGAACUAAGACUUGACUUGAGAGACGUAACUAUAGACAGACGAUGAGAAAUAAAAUCUUUUUGGAUUUUCAAUUAGAUGCUUCACACAAAACUGACACCAACAACUAUGAAAGAGAAAAAAAUCUUUUUGGCAUUUUCGUUAUAUAAAAUGUAUAGAACUUCUACCAUUUUUGCAUUUUGCUUUUAUUAGAAAAAAACUCCUAAAACAAUACUUUUUUUUUUUGGAUUUUUUUUGAAUUAUGAAUGCAUUCUAAAGGAGAUAAAGGGAAAAUCUUUUUUUUUGUUUGUUUUUGAGUAAAUGCGUGAAAAAGGUAAGAAAAUCUUUUUGAAUUUUUGAAUUGUGAAAAAUAAAAGUCAUAAAGAAAUCUAAAAAACCUACGAAACUCUUUUUGAUUCACCUUUUUUAUUUUUCCUUUUUUUUUUUUUUAAUUUUUCCAUGCCUAGACAUCUUUCUUUAAUUCUAGCCCAUGUUUUUUCCCAAAUCAGUCCGUCAAAUGACCGCGUUACCCUCAGAGAUGCAACAUUUAGCAUGUAGGGAUGCUUUAAAGGUGAGUCUCCUACAAAGGACCAAGUGGGCCCCACUAGGUCUCAAUAUGAUGCACAUAAGCAUGACCUAAAGGCUGACCUACAUUGUGGUUUACUAACAAAGCCGUUCGGGGGAGCAUAUGGUCGAUAGUGGCUGCUUUGCUUUCCACCUAUUCCAUACAUCCAACGGCUCCCCCCUAAAAUAAGGGUAACUCAACUAGAGUUCGUGCGCACGACGUGCACUCCGGGACUUAUUGCAAAAAGAAUUGACUCGGGUUAUGCAAAUAAUGUCAGAUAUAAAGCGGUAAUACAUAAAGAAAAACUGUAAACAAAGAGCACAGAAACGCGCAACAGUGAUAACAAUAACACAAACAAUAAUCACAAACAAUGUUUAUACAUCCAUAAUGCCACACAAAGCCAUACGACUAAAAAAAAUAAGCUUAAAUUCUGAAAAAUCCCCAGCAGAGUCACCAGAGCUGUCACACCCCUUUUUACACUCCAAAAAAAAGAUUCAUUUUAAGUUUGAAAGAGUUUUGUUAUUAAGGUGACAAAAAAUUGAAGGUUGUUUCGAAAAAUAAUUAUUUACAUUUUUAUUCAGAGUCACCACUUGGCAUAAUCCGGUGUGCCAAGUCACCUUUAAAAGAUCUUUUUUAAAAUGAUUUGACUCUUAAACUGAUUUGCGAACAGAGAUUCCGACUAAGGAAUUCUGUUGACCGCGGGGAAGGUGUUAAGUAACUUUCGGUCCCGUGGUUUGACAACGGUCGCUUGGUGGAGGGUAUCAACUAAUUUGGCACUUCGAUGUACAAACCACACAAAAACAUGUAAAACAAUCAAUCAAACAAAUAAACAAACAAAACAAAGGGGAUCCAAAAUAUAGUGUCCAGUCCGAGUUAUACAGUCCCAAAAUAGAAAAAUACAAAAAUGUAAAUCCUAUUCUAAACUAAUCCUAAACUAAGCUCUAAUGCCUCACCCGAUGCCUCGGGCCUUCCUCGCGAACAUCUUCCAAGUACAAAAUACUUCGGGGCAUUCCCCAGAUAAAUCAAUACAAAUCCCUCGAGGCAUCCCCCGGCCAAAUAAAUACAUUUUUAGUGCGGGAAAAUAAAACUAUUCAACAAAAUUUCAAAUAUUCCAUAGAAUUUCCAACAUUCAACCGAAGCCACAAAUUCUAAACUUUGCCUACCCAAACUAUGUUUGCCUAAACCAAUCGACGUAUCAAGAUACUACCAAGUUCGAUUAAUGUUCAUUUCAAGUCAAACAACCAAUGAAUCAAACUAACCAAAAUUCAGCAAUUAUGUCAAGUUUUUAAUUCUCACCCCACCCCACUCAAAUUAAUUCACGAUUCAAAACAACUAAAGAUUCACCACCAACACAGAUCAAGCAAGACAUAACGGCAAUUUGAUGCAUCCGAAUAUAAUGAAUAAUGAACUAAUAGAAAGAGGAAAUAGGAUUGGACCUCAAUUCGAAGAUUUCAAAAUUCAAUAAUACUUCAAUGAAAGGAUAGAAUCCGCGUCCGAAAACCUCGAAAUGAACCUUAACAGUGACGAACUCCAACUCUGAUAUUAAGGAAUUUGAAACCAAAAAUUGGUUGAGACGCGCGAAUACUAAACCCAAAAAAGGAACAAAAAAUGAUGAAUCCCCCGAAGCCCGAUUCUGGCGACGAAACACAAAGUCAGACAAACCCAGAAACCCCAAUACACAAUAGAACCAAAGAACAGUAUAGCCUGAGCUUCGGUAAGCUCGGACAACGGCAAAACGAUGAGAAAGGGAGGAUUCCGGUGAGUUUCAACAUAUUCAAGCCGGAUUUACUUGAAAGUCAAAAGAAACAAUGAGAUUUUUGGUGAUUUCAAACUAGUCGGUCAAGUCGACGAAUGAUGAUCGACUACCGACAAAGAUCUCGCCGAACUUGGCCAGUACAGAACCUGAGGUGGGGCUUCUGGUGAGCGAACAGUCGCCAAAAUAGUGUUCUCCGCCCUAUUCUCCUUUUCUCUCUCUCUCGUUCAGCUGCUCUCUCCCAUCUCUCCCUCGCAACUCUCUCUCUUUGUGUGUUUACCAAUUCAGUGAGGUGAAACAGUGAGUGUUGCGUGUGUAUUUUCUGAGAGUGUGCAUGUGCGUGUUACUGGUAAGAAUGAGAAUAGCAGAGGGAUCCCUUUUUUGAAGAAGAAGAAGAAGAAAAUGGGUCCUCCCUUUUUGAGUGAUAUCCCCUGUGUAUGGUGAUGGAGGAUUUUUUCCUUCUUGUGAGUGAAUUCCUUGGUCAAGAAGAAGAAGUUUUUUCUUCUCCUUUGAUCCUUAUCCGUGGGCCCUUCUCCCUUUACUUUUUGUGCUCUCUCUCUUCUGUAUAUGUGUAAGGACUAUAUAUAUAUAUAUAUAUAUAUGGAAAUGGUCCAGUCCCUCUGUAGGUGUGUGGAAUGGAAAAAGCAAAGAAAAAAUUAUGAUUUCUUGCA